GGAGCAUGUGGUUAAUUCGAAGCAACGCGAAGAACCUUACCAGGCCUUGACAUGCAGAGAACUUUCCAGAGAUGGAUUGGUGCCUUCGGGAACUCUGACACAGGUGCUGCAUGGCUGUCGUCAGCUCGUGUCGUGAGAUGUUGGGUUAAGUCCCGUAACGAGCGCAACCCUUGUCCUUAGUUACCAGCACGUUAUGGUGGGCACUCUAAGGAGACUGCCGGUGACAAACCGGAGGAAGGUGGGAUGACGUCAAGUCAUCAUGGCCCUUACGGCCUGGGCUACACACGUGCUACAAUGGUCGGUACAAAGGGUUGCCAAGCCGCGAGGUGGAGCUAAUCCCAUAAAACCGAUCGUAGUCCGGAUCGCAGUCUGCAACUCGACUGCGUGAAGUCGGAAUCGCUAGUAAUCGUGAAUCAGAAUGUCACGGUGAAUACGUUCCCGGGCCUU
rnacentral:rRNA from 1 species